UGAACGCUGGCGGCAGGCCUAACACAUGCAAGUCGAGCGGUAACAGAUCCAGCUUGCUGGAUGCUGACGAGCGGCGGACGGGUGAGUAAUGCAUAGGAAUCUGCCCGAUAGUGGGGGAUAACCUGGGGAAACCCAGGCUAAUACCGCAUACGUCCUACGGGAGAAAGGGGGCUCCGGCUCCCGCUAUUGGAUGAGCCUAUGUCGGAUUAGCUAGUUGGUGGGGUAACGGCUCACCAAGGCGACGAUCCGUAGCUGGUUUGAGAGGACGACCAGCCACACUGGGACUGAGACACGGCCCGAACUCCUACGGGAGGCAGCAGUGGGGAAUAUUGGACAAUGGGGGCAACCCUGAUCCAGCCAUGCCGCGUGUGUGAAGAAGGCCCUCGGGUUGUAAAGCACUUUCAGCGAGGAAGAACGCCUAGCGGUUAAUACCCAUUAGGAAAGACAUCACUCGCAGAAGAAGCACCGGCUAAUUCC
rnacentral:rRNA from 1 species